rnacentral:rRNA from 1 species
CAGCACCUCAAGUGGUCAGGAGGGAUUAUUGGGGCCUAAAGCAUCCGUAGCCUGCUAUGUUAGGUUUCGGUUAAAUCCAUAUGCUCAACAUAUGGGCUGCCCGGGAAUACUGCAUAGCUAGGGAGUGGGAGAGGUAGACGGUACUCCGUAGGAAGGGGUAAAAUCCUUUGAUCUAUGGAUGACCACCAGUGGCGAAGGCGGUCUACCAGAACACGUUCGACGGUGAGGGAUGAAAGCUGGGGGAGCAAACCGGAUUAGAUACCCGGGUAGUCCCAGCUGUAAACUAUGCAAACUCAGUGAUGCAUUGGCUUGUGGCCAGUGCAGUGCCGCAGGGAAGCCGUUAAGUUUGCCGCCUGGGAAGUACGUACGCAAAGUAUG